AGAGAGAUAGAAGAAAGAAGGGGGGAAGAGGUGGAAAGUAGAGGGAAGAAGGAAAGCAGGAAGAAAAGGAUGAAAUAAACGAACGACGAUGGGAAGGACUUAGAAAAAAUAAACCACGCAGAGAGCUUGGACGACCACUGUGAUGCAAAAUAUGCAUGCCUGACCUGACCAAUAGCCUAAUGCCCAGAUUACCUGAGCCUUUGCCAACACUGACUUCUAUUCUACCUAAACCUGAACGUUUAUUGCACUGCUCUCUUCCUUAAUUAGUUGCCGCGACACCGGUCUAAACUGCCCUUCGAUGAAGGGUCAGGAACGACAGAAACAAGGAACGUUGAGUUGUGUUUCUUCCAAAUCAAAAUGUUUCUAAAAAGAACUCCU